CUCGGCGCCCGACAACUCUGUAAUAAAAAUUGCCAAUUUUCGCGGUUAAACUUAAAAAGGAAAAGAAAGCCAAUGAGUCCAUGUCAACUGCUGACAGUGAAGAGCCAGGCAGUCUGACCCAUGAUAGGAGGGAGCCAAGUGAAGAGCCAGCCAGUCUGACCCAUGAUAGGAGGGAGCCA